rnacentral:lncRNA from 1 species
UUUGUAUUGAGCUGGACUUAAACGUGUAAACUAUACGAAAUGGCCACAUAUCAUUCUCAAAACUGAUUUGGAAGAGCUCUUCUUCUAAACAUAAAGCGUUCUUCUUCCCAAUUAUACCCACCAUUUUCAAGACUUUUGAAGCUGAGUUUUGACUUCCAAUUUUCUUUGUUUAGAAGAGGUAAGCGAAUUUUUUGUGUAAAUUCCUUCCUUUGACAUUUUUCUGUUAAGAGUUUUUUAAUUUCUUCCCCAAUUUUUGUCUAUGAAAUCUUAGGGUUAGGAAUGGCAAACAUCAAGUUGAAUUAGUUGUGCAUGGAUGAAAAUUGAUCCAACGCAUGCCGGUGGACGAUGCAAACAUGGGAUUUGUUGCAAACGCGAACUUUUUGGUCAGAUCGGAAUCCCGAAAGAUGAUUUUGGUCUUGUCCUCACUAUGAGGUAUGCUUUCAUGUUCUUAGCCUAUCGAUUAAUUUAAAAAUUAAUGUUGAUUGGGUCGUUAUUGUAUUCUUUAAAUUUUAGGCCAUGCAUUGCAAGUUUUUCAGAUGGAGAGAUAAGGAAAGAGUUGAUGAAAGAUUAAAUUUUAUUCUUACGAGAUUGGUAAACAAAAUCAAAUAGUUAGAAGAAAAUUACGAACGUCUUAAGCUGCAUUUGACAAGCUUGAAGAUUCAAAAUGGAAUGUUAAUUAGAAAGGGAAUAGUAUGAAGGAAAAAAUAGAAGAAACUUGUGUAGAAAAUUUAUUUAGUUUUUUAUGGUUUGUGUAACUAUUGUUUAUGUUACCAGCUUAAUCCAAGUUGGCAACUUGAAGGAAAAUCAAAUGGAGUUUCCAUAGUAGCUGAUUGUUGUAGUAAUAUAAGAUCAUUUUGGUAUUGAUGUCGGAUAGGGUAAGGUAGAUGUGGUUUGGUUGUCUACUUCAUUUUGUAUUGUAAUGAAACAUUAUUUUGAUAUUAUAAUGAAACAUUAUUUUGGUACUGUAUAAUAAUGGAUCAUUAUUGUGGUACCAUGGUAUCAUUUUCUGUGGAAAAAUAUUCUCUUGUUACCGUUUAAGCAAAUGUUGGCAGAAAAACAAGAAGCCUCUUGGCAACAGUUUCAUAACCCGAAUUUCCCACCUACAGGACUCAUGAUGGUGCCUAUUAAUGGGAUCUAGACAAGCCAAACUUAAAUACUUUUUCGUUAAUAACAUAAUCCCUUUUAACAAUUAUCAGCAAUAAUAUAAAAGCAACAUAGUUAAUUAAAUAAGCGGAAGUCUUAAAUUUAAGAAAACUGAAUUGAAAUGCAGAAAAUUCAACAUAAGUCUCUACCCAAGACUGGUGUCACAAUACUCACGAACUACCAAGAGUGCUAAAUACAACGUUUGAAAGAAAAUAUAAACUGUAUGUCAUGAAUACAUGGGAUAACUGACUGAAAUAAAAAAUAAAGGAGACGCCGUGCCCGCGGAUGCCUGCAAAGCUACCUUGGUAUCUCAUGGACUGAAGGCUCUCUCUCAGACUACUGCUGCGCUCCGAAUGCUGCUCUAGUAUCUGCACAUAGGUGCAAAGUGUAGCAUCAGCACAAUUGACCCCAUGUUCUGUUAAGUGUUUGGCAUAAUCCUGGCGAGGUAGUGACUAGGCUAGGACCAGACUACCAAUCAACAUGUGCAGUUCAAUAUAUACAUAUGCGACGGAAUAGAAGUACAGAAAAUAAUCUUUCAAAGAGGGAGGGGAACAUGCUGUGGGAAAGUAACAGUUCAGAAAUAGAAACACCAAAUAAGAAAUGAAACUGUACAACUAGAAUAUCAACAAGAGUAAGAAAUCAACAGUUGCACGGCAUCACCCUUCGUGAUUUUACUCUCGUUCUCACCAAAUCAAUCUUAUAAGGUACAUGACAUCACCCUUUGUGUUUUUACUCACUUUCCUUUCCAUAUAAUCAAUGAAUAUCGGUACGGAAUGGUACAUCGUACGGUAUGGCAUUACCUUUCAUGCUUUACACUCUUUCCUCAUCGUGAAAUUAAUAUAAUAGGCACGUAAUGGUACAUCGUGCAUCACCCUUCGUGCUUUUACACUUUUCCUCGCCCAAAUAACAAUCACAAACAAGGGGACAAGGGAGUAGCAAACAACAAUAGAAAUCCUGGCAAGGGAACACAAGUGAAUAGUUAAAUCCCGGCAAGGGAACAACAUCAAUAACCUUAACAUCCCAGCAAGGGAGAUAAUCAAUAAACAAGAAUAACCCGGCAAGGGUACCAUUUAGAUAUUCUUCCUCUUUCUUUCACUCUCAUUUCAUAAUUCACAUUACCACUUGAGCCAAUGCUUCAAAUGGUACAAUAGUUCAUAUACUUUCUCAGUUAGUAGAAUAACUUGAGCCAAUUCUCCCCGACGUUUGAAAGUCAUAAUCCUUUCCACAAAUGUUUCGCAACACCUAGAAAUCAUCUCUAAGGCAUGAAAUAUAUAACAUGAAUAAAGAUAUUCACAAUUUAUAAACUCACAGUCAUGCUAAACACCUACGUAUAGAUACUCUUCACCAUAUCUAUACGUCGUACUCAACAUAAAACAAGUAGCAAAUAUGACUCAACUCCUAAUCCCUCAAGCUAGAGUUAGACCGGACACUUACCUCAAUGCCUCGAACAUAACUCAAGUCUCAAUUAUAGCUUUACCCCUUGAUUCCACCAAAAAUCCGCUCGAAUCUAGUAAGAAGUUACUUAAUUUCAUCAAUAGACGCUAAACGAAUCAAUUAGAAUGCAUAAAAAUGAAUUUCCUAAAGUUUUGCCCAAAACGUCCAAAAAUGCCCCCAAACCUACGUGGUCAAAACCCGAGGUUUGAACCAAAACCCAAUUACCCUUUCCCCCACGAACCCAUAUAUGUGAUUUGUUUUGAAACCGGACCUCAAAUUGAGGUCCAAAUCCCCUAUUUAUGGAAAACCUAAGUUCUACCCAAAAACCCCCAAUUUCUCCCAUGAAAAUUUUUGAAUUUAGGUUGAAAAUAUGUUAAAGAUUCAAAUAAAUGAGUAAAAACUAACUUACAAUUGAUUUGGAAAAGAAAUGAUUCUUGGAAAAUCGCCUAAAUGUGUUUGAGUUUGAGAACAUAUGAAAAAUGGGGUUCAGAAUUGGUUAAGUGUUAAAAAUGCAGGUUUUAGACGUGGGAAAUACGAACAGGGGUUCGUAAUUGCAAACCCCGACAUGCUAACAUAGGAAAUGAGAGACUGGGUUCACAUUUGCGAACCCUUUAGGAUUUCGGGACCUUCGCAUUUGCGAAGUGAAGGCUGCAUUUGCGACAGGACGGACAUUGCAUUUGCGAAGAUGUGCUGGCCUGGGCUUACUUCGCAAUUGUGAAUGGCCACUCGCAUUAUGCGAAGCCUACAAACCUGCUAUGCUCAGCUGCAAAUUUUUGCUACAUUCUAAGUUCCAAAUGCACUCGUGGCCUAUCCAAAACUCACCCGAGCCCUCGGGGCUCCAAACCAAACAUGCACACAACCUCAAAAAUAUCAUACGGACUUAUUCGUGUGAUCAAAUUACCAAAAUGACAUCAUAUACAUCACAUUAAGCCUCAAAAUUCAUGAAUUCUUCUAAAUUUCAUAAAAUAUCGAAUUUUCCAUUUUAAGUCUAAGACACGUCAAACGACGUCCGUUUUUAACCAACCUUUACAAAAAGUUCUUAAAUUAUAUAUAUGACAUGUACUAGGCAGGGCUAUCAUUUUCUAGUCAGAUUUCAUUUUCAAUUUCCUUAACUGUUUUUCAAAAAAUAAUUUUACUCAAAAAUUCAUUUCUCGGGAUUAGAACCUCGGAAUUUGAUUUCGGGCAUAUACUCAAGUCCCAUAUUUUCCUACGGACUCUCCAGAAUCGUAAAAUCACGAGUUAGGGUCCAUUUAUCCAAAAUAUUGACCGGAGUCAAAAUUAUUUAUUUUAACAUUAAAAUUUAGUAUUUUUCAUAGAAUUUCAUAUUUAAGCUUAUCGGUUGCGCAUCCAGACUAGCACGUAAAUUGAGGCAAUUAUAAAUAAGGUUUUUAAGACCUCAAAGACACAGAAUUUAAUUAGAAACAGGUGAUGAACCUUUGGGUCGUCACAAACAGCAGGUUAGCACAUUGUCCACGACUUUAGAAUAUCCAAACUAAUUGCAUGGGAAGAAAACUAUUAUAAUUUCCAACAAAUUACUUCAAUGGUACAUUUGAAUACCAAUAAUCUAAUAACAAAACAAAUGUUUCCAACAUAACACUUUGAGUACCAUUUCAUACACUACACUCAACACAAAAAUGGUACAUUUGAAUAUCAAUACUCCACAAUUCUAACAACACUUCAAAAAUUCCAUCAACUUCAUAACAACAAAACACCAUUCUAGGUAAAACUAAAAAUAAUAGGGCCAUAUCAACACUAUAAUUUCCAUUUUUGGGGCUGUGAAUCAGCAUUCCUUGAUUUAUCUCUAAUUUCUUGAAGUCUUCUUGUUGUAAUUGCUUGUUUUCCUUUCCACUUCAGUCCAUUAGUUGGUUUGAAACCAAUAUCACCAGUAAUAUCAGCUGAUCUUGUUAUCGCUGUUGAUGAUCUAGUGGAUAUUAUUCUGCUAGCCCAGGCUAUACAAAAAAUAGUUUAAUUAGUUUAAGGUACAUUUAGAUAAUAGCAGAACUGAUUGCAUUAAUACUUACAUUAAUAGUUUUGAAGCCAUUCUCAGAUGGAACACACCAUUCUCAUCAGUCUUGGCCUUUUAUAUAGUGUUGAGCUCCCAACACCCCUUCCCCUUCCUUUGGUAGCAGUAGAUGAACUAGGUGCAACAGAUACGAUAUCAGAUGCAUUUAGAGUUGAACAUGAAAACCAACUUUCAAGUGAAUGAUGUAUUGUUGCUCUUCCUUCCCCUCCUCCCCUUCCUCUUCUUCUUCUUCUCCUGCCUUCAGUGAAUUGUUGAUGAAAUUCCAAUAGUAGCAAAAGUAUUAGUUGUUGUAUUAUGAGCUUAAGAACUAGGAGCAGAGCACGUAAACCAACUGUCAAGUGAAGAAGUUGAUGAAAAUUCAGCACCAACAUAUGCAGUAGGUGUAGUAUUAGGUGCAUUAACGACAGAUACAUUAGUUUAUUUUCCUUGGUCUACAUCUUCAUCUUUUUACCGUAGGUUCACCUUCAUUAGUAGCUGAUUUAUGAAGAGAAAAAAAACAUGUUAAAUAGUGAACUAAAUUUAAAAGAUAUUGAUACAAAAUAGAAUAUUACCUUUGGUCUUCCUCUUCCCUUUCCUGAAACUGAUUGUUUUACAGCAGUUGUUGAUGAACUAGCACCAAGUCUAUCACUAUCUGGACACCCUCUUUUGUUGUGACCCCUCUCAUGACAGGGGCUACAUGUUAUUGCUAUACUAGUUUUAGGAAAUUUACCAGAGUUCUUAGUUUUAUUUGCCUCUUUCCUUCUAAGCUUUUUUUGUCUUCCAGGCAUGCCCUUGACAACUGGUAGUGCAAAAAAAGAUUGGUAUAUUCAGGCCACAUUGACAUAUACUCACUGGUUGAUUGAAAUUAGAAUAAGUUAACAAGUAUAUCUCCUUUUUGUAGCAACUAUCAAUGAAGUCAGUUGGUUCAACAUUGUCAUAAUACAUUGCACAUAUGGCAUAUGGACAUGGUAUCCCCCUUUAGCAUUCAAGAUCUGUAACAACAAAGCUUAUUUCUAAGACAUGUUUACCAUCACUUACUUCAUAUCAUGUUUGUCCAUUAAACUUAAUGGUACAUCUCAUUAAUUUUUCAAUAUUGUCCCCCAAUAUCUUUAAGGCCAUUGGAGAGAUGUUGGUGCUUCAUGUGUUUGCAAAUGCCCUUAACUUUCCUAUUCUGGUCAUCAUCUUGAUUCUAAUCUCUUCAAGCAUGCUAAUAAUAGGCUUUUGCCUUGCUGCCAAGAUCCAGGCAUUAGAACUCUCUAACAUGCUUCAUCCACUGCAUCACACUUCAAUUCACAGUUAAAUUACACCUUGCACCAAUACUCCUUGUUAUAAUAUAGUAGAUUAUCCAUUUUGUUCUUACCAAGCAUUAACGGUGUUUUCAGUUUUUUUAAAAAAAAUUCAGCUUCGUAUGUGCUUAUGGAAAAAAUCUAGAAUAAGUUCCUCCUUUGAAGCCCUCUCUAUUUUUUUGACCAAUAAGCUAAGAUGUGCAUAACACACAUCCUUUGUUCACAAGCUUGAAAGAAUUCUUUAAUUGCUGAAUCCAAUCUUUGUAAAUUACAGUUACAUGAAAAACAAAAAAUGAAUGAUAAGUCAGUUUCAAAGAAAGAAAGUGAAGCUAAUGAAACACAAAGUUACAAUUGCUGAAAUAUACCUUAUGCGUGUCAAUGAUCGAAGUGAAGCUUGUGCUAUCACCUAAUCCAAAAUCUUCCUUCGGCAAAGUUAAGACCCAUGACCAUUUAGUUUUCUUCUCAUAUUAAACUACUACACAAGUAAGUGGAAGCAUUUGGUUAUUACCAUCCUUAUCCACAACAACUAGUAGUUGCCCCCUACUUACACCCUUCAGAAAACAACCAUCCAAGCCUAUGCAUUUCUACCCCACAAGAAUUCAUUUUUAGUGCCUCAAACAUUUGUAGAAACUUACAAAUACUUGUCUACCAAGUUCAUCAGGUUCACGAAGCUUCACAACACAAGUUCUCUCAGGGUUGGUCCUUAACAACUCAUCCCUGUAAUCAAGAAUUCUACCAAACUUCACAUUAUGAUCACCUAUUAUUUGCUGCAAUACUUUAGCUCCUUCUCUCCUGAUUGUGGUCUUACCAACAUGAGCUUUGAAUUUCUUCCUAAUUAAUUCUUGCAACUUGAAUACUCUUAUAUUUGGUUGUUCAGUUAUUUUAUCUUUUAAAGACAUUGGCCAAGAAUUUAGAAUUGCAUAAGUAAUUUCCAGAGGCCCUCUCACAAUUGUGAAAUGAAUUGUAAGUCCUUGUAAUAAAAUUAUUAAUUACACUAUCCAAGCUUGCAAACAAAAGCCAACCGCAGUUAUCCUUGGUGCACCUUACCCUGGCUCUAAUUGUAUUCUUUUCAAUAAGAACUCUUUUUACAGUGCAUACCUAGUUACUACAUCUCUAAAGUCACUAACACUCUCAAAGAUCAUACCCAACUGCAAUACAAUCUUUUUUCAUAUUUGUCAAACUUCACACUCUUUAUAGAUUUAGAUAUCCUUUUUGUUAGUUUUACUUCAUGCCUUCCCCAUUUUCAUUCCAAUAUUCAGCUUCAUCAGUGUUAAAGCUACAAGCAUCAGAACUUGGAUAAUAUGGUUCAUCGCCACCUAGCCUUCCUUAUGCACUUUUUUUUACCUAUUUCAAUCUCAUCAAAACCAAGCUCUGGCCAUGCAUCGCCACAUGGUACAUCUUUAGCAUCAACAACAACUUUCUACUUUCUUUUUCUCCUUUAAAAUGACCUACUAUCCUUCCUAAUAUCUAUGGAUUCUUCAUGUACAUCACUUCCAUAAUCAUACCUCCAAAGAAGUCACUGUCUUCAGAAUUAUCACUAUCUUCAGUUGAUUCAUUAGAUCCAUCGUCGCUUGGAAAAUCUUUAGUUGGAGAAGAUUCUUGAUUUGAAAAAGCAGUUUCUUGUGUAUGUUGGAUGAACAAUUGGAUAUGCAGGAGCAACUAUAUUUGGAGGAGCAACAACAUUGAUUGAAGGAGAAGCACCAGUGUUUGAAGGAACAUCAAUGUUUGGAAGAUCAGCAGAACCAUUAAAAGCAGUCCCUUUACUAAAAGCUUAGCAAGAUUCGUCCUCAGGCAUGUGCACAUAUAAGUGGCCGAAAACUAUUUUACAACUUGAGUUGUACCCUAGUUCUUUACUAUAAUCCUUCAACUCAAAAUAGGAGAGGGUAUCCACAUCAGCAUCCAAAUAUUCACUCAUUACUCGACCAAAAUAUUUGGUUUCUCAUUUACAAACUCUAAGACCCCACCAUUAUAUAAUUUUAAAGUGAUUAAAGCAAAUCCAGUAAUACCUAUGUGCAAACAAAGCAAAAAAAAAUCGAUAAAACCAAAUUCAGUAGAAUUUGACAAACAAUAGAUACAAGUAUUAGAAAAAUAUUUAUUUGCAAAAAACCUGAACUUUUCACUAAACCGAUGUACAAUCAAAUCUCUGAGGUUAACAUGUACACAUUAAACCUCAAAUUUAAUCUGCCAAUCACAAAAUUGCAGGGGAUAAAAACAUUUAAAAUUCCCAAACUAACACAAAAAUAAUCAAAUACAGUAACAAACUAACUUUUGCUCUUGGAUUCUGAUGAAUAAAAAUCUUAGCGUUCCAAGUUGACCUUCAAUCGACACACGAAAAACCCUAGAACAUUAUUCUUGUUUAGCCUUCCAAUCUGAGCUCCCCUUCCUUGAAUUGAAUCAUUAAAUAAGGGGCUUUAUCUAAUAGUAUCCAAUUACAAGAGAAUAUUUUUUUUAUGUCUUGUUGAUUUCAUUAAGGAUCAAAAGGGAAGAUGAGUGUGAAGAAUGGGGGAAAUUUUUGGGUCGGAGGUGUUAUGUUUAAUGAAGAGGUAAAAAAGGAUAAAAAGGAGAAUGUGAUGGCGGACUAUUGGUUUUUGAUAAAUGAUGUGCGUGUCUACACCGCAUGUGUAACGACCCGGUCGGUUGUUUUGAGAAUAUUAGCCCCGACCCCCUAUUUUCUGCUUUCCCCAUAUCAUUUUAUGCUUAUGUGACUUGCCGGAAGGAUUUAUUUUUAUUUUUGGAGUGAAAUGGGACAUUUAGUCACUAAAAUAGAAGCUUAAGUUCUAGAAAUUUGACCGUAGUUUGAACUAUGUGAAGAUGAUUCCAGAAUGGAGUUUCGUCAAUUCCGUUAGCUCCGUUGGAUAAUUUUAGACUUAUGAGCAUGUCUGAAUUGUGAUUUGGAGGUACGUAGUUGAAUUGGGCUUGAAACGGUGAAAGUUGGAUUUUUGGAAAGUUUGAUCGGGAGUGAACUUUUUUAUAUCAGGUCCAGAUUCAAACUUUGAAAGUUGAAAUAUGUACGUAAUGUCAAUUAUGACUUGUGUGAAAAACUUGAGGUCAAUCAGACAUGUUUUGAUAGGUUUUGGCAUCGGUUGUAGAAGUUUAAAGUUUCACGUUCAUUAAGUUUGAAUUGGAGUGAAACUCGUGUAUUUGUUAUUGUUUGAUGUAAUUUUAGGGCUCGACUAAGUUUUUGUGAUGUUUUAGGACUUGUUGAUAUGUUUAGUUGAGGUUUUGAGGGCCUCGGGUGGAUUCCGAGUGGUAAACAAGCUAGACCUGGACUUGUUGGAAUUGCAAAAAAUAUGGUGCAUCAGUUGCUGGUUUCCUUCAUCGCGUUCGCGAGAGAGGUUCCAUGUUUACGUACGGCGUCUGGGAGUCCAGCUAGGUUUUUUCUUCACGUUCGCGAUGUGGUACCAACAUUCGUGAAGCUUUGGACCAUUGAGCCUACGUGUUCGCGAUAAGGUCCUUCCGUUCUCGUGGAGCAACGGGCAGAGGGGGUCCCAGGCAUUUAGCCUACGCAUUUGCGAUGAGGGUCCCGCAUUCUUAACAGGUCAGACUAUGUGAGCUUCCGCAUUCCCAAUUGGGCCAUCGCAUUCGCGAAGGAGGUUUUGGACUAAAGGAAUUUUUUAUGCUUCACGAACGCGAGGAAGCUUCCACGUUCGCAAAGAAUGAUUUCACUGGGUAGAUAUAAAUAUUUCAAAUCAAGUGUUUUACCAUUUUUAUCAAAAUUUGAGAUAGAUAGCUCGGAUUUGCAUGAGAUUUUGAGUGAUAUUCAGAGGCAUCAAUUUGAUUUAGGCUAUGCGGAGUUGGGAAAUUGAGAAAAAGGCAUUCUUGCUGAUCGAUUGAGCUUGGAUCGAGGUAAGUGGCUUGCAUAACCUUAUGGGGAUGGGGAAAAUCCCUUAGAAUUUGUUGUGAUACUUCUAUGGUUUGUGAUGCCGUGUAUGCAAGGUGACGAGUGCACACAUGGGCUAAUUGUUGUAAAAUUCAGUUUUCACUGAGCAGUAUUAUGUUACAUCUUAAUUGAGUUAUACAAGCAUGCGUAGUUAUCAUGUUUAGCUAUUACCUUUCUACGUGUUAUUUAAAAUCUAUUCAACAUGCUUAGUUGAUUCCCUUCUUUUUUCUUGAUUUGUAUCAGUCUUAAACUGUAGAGUUCUUGCUGUUAUGUUGUUUCCAUCGGUUUUGGGUUGCGUGUUUACUUUUGGGACUUUGAGGCGGUGCCUUGGGAGAUCCCCUACAUAUUUGCUUUUGGGACUAUGAAGCGGUACCUCGGGAGAUCCCCUUGCAUAUUUACUUUUGAGACUAAGAGACGGUAUCUCAGGGGAUCCCCUGUUGAGCAUUUACUUUUGGGACUGCAAGACAGUAUCUCAAGAGUGCCCCUGUUGUUUACCUCUAUGUGAUAUGUUGUUACUUAUCAAUAAAUUCUCUUUGUUAAUUUCUCAGCCUUUUAUCAUAUUGUUAUAUCUUCUGUCCUAUUAUUAUAACCGAGUAGGGCCCUGACCUGUUGGCCCAAAAACAGGUGAAGUGUUGAAAAAUGACAAAUGAACUCAGUCAUGGACCAUGUCUAUCUUGUUAAGCACAGUCAUGAUCAACCUAUACAUGUGAGAUGCACGUGAAGAAGAUAAGUCCUACUGAUCAAGCAUCAAUAUCUCCUGAUAUGAUCGAAAAGGUUGCAUAUUAGAUAAGGGAAGAAAGUUUCCUUAUAUGAAGAGAACACAAUCCAGGAUAAAGAUGGUGUUAGAGUUUGAGAUCUUCAUGAACUCUUCUACGAUUGAGUCCCAAC